rnacentral:tRNA from 1 species
GUUUUAAUAAUUUAACAAAAAUAUUGGUCUUGUAAACCAAAAAUAAGCAAAUGAACUUUUAAAACU